GGGAAGCGAGCGUACACAGGUGCUGCAUGGCUGUCGUCAGCUCGUGUCGUGAGAUGUUGGGUUAAGUCCCCGCAACGAGCGCCAACCCCUGCAUUCAGUUGCCAUCGGGUAAUGGCCGGGCACUCUGGAAGGACUGCCAUCGACAAGAUGGAGGAAGGUGGGGACGACGUCAAGUCAUCAUGGCCCUUAUGUCCUGGGCUACACACGUGCUACAAUGGCCGGUACAGAGUGAAGCGAAACCGCGAGGUGAAGCAAAACGCAGAAAGCCGGUCUCAGUACGGAUUGGAGUCUGAAACUCGACUUCAUGAAGUUGGAAUCGCUAGUAAUCGCGCAUCAGCAUGGCGCGGUGAAUACGUUCCCGGGCCUU
rnacentral:rRNA from 1 species